rnacentral:misc_RNA from 1 species
GAUGAAGAACGUAGCGAAAUGCGAUAAGUAAUGUGAAUUGCAGAAUUCAGUGAAUCAUCGUAUCUUUGAACGCACAUUGCGCCCUCUGGUAUUCCGGGGGGCAUGCCUGUUCGAGCGUCAUUAUAACCACUCAAGCUCUCGCUUGGUAUUGGGGUUCGCGGUUUCGCGGCCCCUAAAAUCAGUGGCGGUGCCUGUCGGCUCUACGCGUAGUAAUACUUCUCGCGAUUGAGUUCGAUAGGUCUACUUGCCAGUAACCCCCAAUUUUUACAGGUUGACCUCGGAUCAGGUAGGGAUACCCGCUGAACUUAAGCAUAUCAAUAAGCGGAGGA